UUUCCCCUUCCUCGCAGCCGCCUCCCCAAGCCCCUCGACCUUCCCGCGUGGUCACCCUUCUGUGACCUCGCCCUCCGACGAGCUCUCCCCCUCAGCCAACCUGCUCUAGGAUCUGACAGACCAGGGAGGCAAAGAGGGUUGGCCCAUCUGCCUAUGUGUCUUCACAGUCAGGCAAUGAGGAAAGGCGAGGAUGCAAUGGCCACUGGAGAAGCAAAGGGGAGGAGGUGACGUAAGAGGGCAGCAGCGAUCUCAGCAGCUCGGGUUUCCUCGGUCCUUAGUAGGUCACCUACCUCGUCCGCCGCUCCACCGCCUCGAGCGAGCCCCCGCCAUGGAGCCGCCGCUCCACCACCUCGAGCCAGCCGUCGCCAUGAAGACAUGGAUCCUACACAGGAGGAGGGGAAACGCGAAGGGGAGGAGCGGUGGUGGCGGCGUCAAGCUGCAAAGAGGCGUAGCUCGGGCGCCAGACGACGGAGGCGUCCUUCCCUCCAGCUGCAUCGCCGUCCAUCUCUCUACAUGUUUCUCGAUCCGCUUCUGCCGCGCGCUGUGCUUCUGGAUCGCGUGCAGGUCGCUACCAUAGGUGAGCAGGGGGUGGUGUGGUCUUUGUGGUGCGCAUGAAGCAGGGGAGGAUGAGCGGGAUUGCCAUGAGGCAAGGAGUAGCAAGGUCUCAUCUUCAACCCAGUUUUUACUCCUUGAUUUAUGGUGAUUCUAAAGACUAAACACAUGUGUGCAGAUAUGAGAGAAAAGGAGAAGGGGGUGAAUCUUGAGGAAGAGCUCGGUGAAGAAAAAAGUGAUCUCUCUCUCACUCUCACAUUUGUUCUGCAGUGUACCAGAGAGUAAUUAUUGUCAGAAGAUUACAUUCUUCAUGUGGUACAUAUGUCUUCUUCUUCAAACAGUGUUCUUUAGUUUCUGGAUUUAGUGCAGGUUCAUAGUCAUGUUUGCUUCAUGAAUGUACAAUUUUGCAGCUGAUGGUUUAAUUGUUCAAAUGGGAGCUUCAUAGGGGCAUGUUCUCAAUUCCACAUCUUUCCAGAUUGUUGUUUCAGGGUUGAUACAAUACUCAGUUUGGUGGUUUCCGUUUGUUUUUGCUGCAGAGAGUGGAUGUUUCAGAAUGGUGCGGACAGUUUGAGCAGCAAUAGAUCCUUUUUAAGUCCUAGAUUGUUACUACCGAGAAUGGAAUUGGAGAAGAGAUACUUUUGGUGUUGUCCUAUUAAAUCUCGUAUCUAAUAGAUGACACAAAGUUAUUGGUUUAGUUGGCAAAAGAGAAGUCCAGAUCAAUUGUGAGGAUUUGAUGAUUGGCAACGAGCGCCGGAGCAGCCUACGGACAGGAGCGGUGUUCAAGACAACAAGUGCGGCUCGGGAAGCGCUGGUUGAGAUUUCAAGGUGAGCUCUUCCCAGUCCUCUCUCUCGGCUUGUGCAUUUGUCACUUUAUUUUUCUUGUGUGGUGUUGUCUAUUUGACACAAUGCCAAAAACAUCGAUGAUGUUGGACAGAGCCUGUUCAUGGUAUAUAUAAUCAAGAGAUUUUCUAUGGCCCCUGCUCCACUUUUGUGGAGUUCGACAAAUUCAUGGUGGGAACCCAUUGAAAAUUCACUUUUCUCUCAUUUUUCUAGAAUAUUUGCAGCUAUUUAUCUCUGCCAAUUGCCCUUCCCAAGCUAAGCUCCUUCUAUCUCGUGUCAGAGCUUGGUAACGGCGGUCGCACAACAACAAGGUUGGCAAUUAACAACUCUCUUCUUUGUCGCGUGGUUGCUCAGGCUCUGAUUGAGUUGUGUGGUGGAAGAGUUACAGCCACACUAAUUCAUAAUUGGACAUGGUACAAUCGAUUCAUGUGCUCAGUUUAUAUGUAUGCUACUUUUGCAGUCUGUGGUUGAUGGAGGAAGCAUGGGGAGGAGCAAAAACAAAUGGCGAUCUCCAUGUGUGACUGUUUUUACAAGCUUAGAUUCAACGAUUGGUUGUUGUGCAUUUUAGCAUUUGCAUGGUGUCCGCCUGAUCCAGAGGUUGCGAUAUAAUUUGUCAACCGGUGAAUUGUUAUAAAUUCAACCUUCUCAUUAUGGUGUUCAUUUCCAUGUGCAUAAAUAGAUUGCAUCUUGCUUUAUAAUAGAUUUCGUAGGUCUGCUCUGUACCAAGAAAUACCUGCAGGUUUUAAUAUUGUUGUGUGCAUAUAAGCUUCAGUAAUUUGUUGGGCAUUAACCUCAAUCACUUAUUAUACAUGGAUCUUAGUGAUUUCCUUUUUCGGCAUUUAUCAUUUCGACAUUAUGUUCUGCUUGUUGUAUAUUGAGAAAGAACCCAUCGUUUGUGACAUUUAUUUUGGAUGCUUUCUAUACAACACUCUUGAUUCUUUAUGUUCAGUGUCCUUGAUAUUUUUGUUCCUUGUUGUUUCUUUCCGACAGGUACAAGAGGUUAAUUGGUCGCUUGGCCUGCUUUUGGUAUAUCAAUGAGGAUAUCGCUGACAUAAUUUUUUUUAGUGAGAGUUAAUUCCGCACAUCAGUUGUUAUGUGUGCCUGUUAUUGUUUGCUUGGCUUGGUAAUCGUCUUCAUGCCUUUCGCUCUAUUCAACAGCCCUGGAGAGAAAUUUACUAUUGUCGAUGCAUACAAUCAUUCGGGGUAGAAUCUGAUCUCGAGUAAGCAUUGUGCUCCAUCAAACUAUGGAGCAUCUGGACUUCUUAAUCCUAACAUUCGGGAAUGCACUUCGUUUGAUGCCUUGAAAGAGCAGUAUAUUGGGCAUCAUGAGAUAGUCAUCUAGAGUAUGGUCAGGUUUGAAAUGACUUCAGCUUACAAUUUGUGAUUGUGCAAUCAGCUUUCCUACAAGGUACUUUCAGAUCUUCAUUUGAGUCUUUAUACAUGAUCAUUUAAAAAUCCCUGGAAAAUGAACUGCAUUGGUCUAAUUGAAAAUUUAAAAGCACAAGACGGCUUGUGUAGGCAUACAUAUCGAUGCUUAUUUAUUUUAGACCGUUUAAAGGAAUAAGGGUCCAUGGCAUAUUUUUGUUUCAAGUAUUUGUCUGCAGAUGUUUCUAUAAAACAAUACAAUUUAUUAUGUUACAGUUAAGAAUCUAUUCAAAAUUGCACUUUAUCUUGCACAGAUCAACUCUGUUAAGCCACAAGGUCCACUUAGCUAUCAUUUCUCCCCAUUUCCCAGUAAGAGCCAGCAAUAGGUAGGUUUAAUUUUGUCUCUGUGAGCUGUCUGAUUAAAUGUUGGGUUUGUGGUGACAUCAAGUGUCGAUGUGCAAUUCUUUCUAUUUUAAAUGUUUCUUUGUUUUCUUUAUAUAACAACUAUGCAAUUUGGGUGGCAUGUUCCAAGAAUAUAUUUUUGGGUAGCAUUUGACAUUGAAAUAUCUUCCUCAGAAGUCUGUAAGAUGCCUCAUUUUCCGGUAUUUUGCUUGAUUUAACUGCUAAACUAUAUGUUUCCAAAACUGGCGUUAAUACUUUUACAGCUAGAGUCAGCGAGUACAGUACCGAAACUGAGCCCAUUUGCCAAAAUAUUUGCUAUUUUUCUUAUCUUCCUAAGGGCAAAGUUUUUGCCAAGUGGUUGAAUGACAAUAUUAUGCGAUUGGGUCUCACAUUCAUUAAAAUAGCAUAGGAAUUCUGCACCCGAGUAAUCAUUUAUUAUAACAUCCAACUUUGUUUGUAGUUUGCUCCUCUCGACGAUAGGAUGAGGCUGGUAAUAUGCAUAUAAUCAUCCAUCUACGGCGUGCAUCCGUUAAUCGUGUUUUAUACAGCAGGAAUGCUUCAGUUAUCUUUUUUCUUGACUGAAUGAUGCAAUAUCCGAUUUCUUAUAUGCAGGUUUUAGAAUCAUUUAUUUACCAGGUUUUAUAAUCUAUUAUGUAAAGAACAUUGAGCACACCUUCCAGUUGGCAGACAAUUUUCCCCUAUAUCUAUAGAUAAGGUGGUUAGUAACGCCUAAUUGUUGCCUGUCUCCGUACAAUUGUGUAGAAAUGCCUAAUCGCGCCUAAGAUAGAAAGGGCAAGUAGGUGGCCAAACGCAUAAUUAACGCCUAGCGCUUUUUUGAACUUUGUUGGUUACUCAAUGACCUUUUGGUUAGUGUAUUAUUGGUUCGGUUAUGUGGCACCUGCAAUAUGCAAGAAAAAUGAAAUAGUUGACCUGAAGUGUGAUCAUACUUUUUCAGUGGCAUUACGUUGAAGUCCAAAGCUCUUUAUUUUCGGCAACUAUUUAAAUGCUCGGCUUGUAGAUUAUGUACAAUUGUAAGACUGGCAGCACCAGGUUUGUCUCCAUUUUGCCUAAUGUGAUGAUGAAAUUUUAAGUGCAUGAAAUAUAUCAGGACGAAAGUACUAGAUCACAAGAUCCUUUGAUUCGUGGUUCCUGUAUGAUUUGUUCAAAAAGAUUAUUUUCUCUUUUAUGGAUAUUAAAUUGUAUGUUAACUCAUGGUUGUGGUAGUUUGAUGGAAGCAGAAUCGCACUUACUGUUGUGGUGUUUAUCAGACAUUAAAACAUAUCUUCUU